AAAACCAGCAGUACUGGGCCACGACGAAGCGGCUUAUGCUAAAAACCGUCGUGCAGUUCUGGUUUACUAAGAGAAUCGCAUGAACAGUAACUUCAGACGUCACUUGUUG
rnacentral:other from 1 species